UACAGAGGGUGCGAGCGUUGUUCGGAAUUAUUGGGCGUAAAGGGCGCGUAGGCGGUGCCACAAGUCACCUGUGAAAUCCCCGGGCUUAACUCGGGGCCUGCAGGCGAAACUGUGGUGCUGGAGUAUGGGAGAGGUGAGUGGAAUUUCCGGUGUAGCGGUGAAAUGCGUAGAUAUCGGAAGGAACACCUGUGGCGAAAGCGGCUCACUGGACCAUUUCUGACGCUGAUGCACGAAAGCUAGGGGAGCAAACAGG
rnacentral:rRNA from 1 species